GACGAACGCUGGCGGCGUGCCUAAUACAUGCCAGUUGAGCGAUGAAGAUUGGUGCUUGCACCAAUUUGAAGAGCAGCGAACGGGUGAGUAACGCGUGGGGAAUCUGCCUUUGAGCGGGGGUCAACAUUUGGAAACGAAUGCUAAUACCGCAUAAUAACUUUAAACAUAAGUUUUAAGUUGAAAGAUGCAAUUGCAUCACUCAAAGAUGAUCCCGCGUUGUAUUAGCUAGUUGGUGAGGUAAAGGCUCACCAAGGCGAUGAUACAUAGGCGACCUGAGAGGGUGAUCGGCCACAUUGGGACUGAGACACGGCCCAAACGCCUACGGGAGGCAGCAGUAGGGAAUCUUCGGCAAUGGACGAAAGUCUGACCGAGCAACGCCGCGUGAGUGAAGAAGGGUUUCGGAUCGGAAAACUCUGUUGGUAGAGAAGAACGUUGGUGAGAGUGGAAAGCUCAUCAAGUGACGGUAACUACCCAGAAAGGGACGGCUAACUACGUG
rnacentral:rRNA from 1 species